rnacentral:rRNA from 1 species
GGCUCAGUGAGGCCUUCGGACUGGCCCAGGGAGGUCGGCAACGACCACCCAGGGCCGGAAAGUUCGUCAAACUUGGUCAUUUAGAGGAAGUAAAAGUCGUAACAAGGUCUCCGUAGGUGAACCUGCGGAGGG